CUUUGAGUAGAGCUGAAAGACGACGAGGAAGAUAACAUACUUACUGCAUCACCCUGCUGCGAUAAGCUCAGCACUUCCUUCAACCGAGCAUCACCUGCGGUGACGGAGUCUUGCCUCACGUGGCACACUGCAGCUGGAUACGUUGUUGUUUUCACGGGCCACACGACGCUUUCUGUGACGUCUGUGAUGUCGCUCGGUUGUGACUCAUACUGUAAGUUCCCAGUUCAGCGUUUGCAUAGGCAGAUUAAACCUUGAAUUCCCAGUUUAUGUCGAUCAAAACUGCAAAUGCAAAACACCUGCUGUCAAGAACAAACAACACAGGGCACACGAUUUCACGUAACACUAUCGAUUACAGUGAUGCAUGAUGUUAUUGUUAACAGAGGCGCUGUACCUGAGAUGGGAGGAACUUGGCUGCGACUGCUGGGGAUUCCUCGGCCAUAAAGCUGCGUCACCAGCAGUACUUAAGCCUGCAUUGCUAUCAAUAGUUCAAACCUGUUCCUUCUUGUCAAGCCACAACCACGGGACUUCAUAAGCGCAGAGGGGAACAGAAAAUCUUUUCAAAACCUUCCUUCUCCUUCUCCCUGACAGGCAAGAAAGCAUCAUGACAAUGGCCGGCCACGAUCUCGCCGCUGUCGUCGCUCACUGCGCUCUGGAGCUGCGUCAGGUCGGGGACCAGCUUUACUGGAGACACAAGCUGUUGGAGAUACUGAUCAAGAACUACAAGACCGUGACCGAAAUCAAAUGAGACGUGACACCGGUGCACUACUGUGCAUCGAGAGGAAUUGGCUAUUGCUAAACUCAAAGAGGAGAGUCUUGGACAUGGACUCACCGCUGGUGGCAAAAAAACAAAACAAAAAAAUCAGUGGCUCACAAGUGGAAUGUACAUAAGCUUGUGGAAACACGUUUAACGGAGUCGCUGGACGUGAACCUUCAGCGGGACCCCCCGUCAGAAUAGAACCGACCGGAGUGGGAUGCUGCCGACCAACCGACUCGGACCGGCUCAGAGGGGAACAGCUGAUUGGAGGUCAUCUGAUGAUGUCACAUGAGGUCCUCUGUAGACUUCAGUAUAUGUGGAUUUGUAUGCAUGCCAUGCUCUCUGAGGCUGCCACAUGUAUGUCAACUGAAAGAAUUGUGACUCAAGUACUAACAUAUAUAUUCUUAUAUAUAUAUAUAUAUUCUUAUAUAUAUAUAUAUAUAUAUAUAUAUAUACAUGUUUUUUCAUUGGAAGUAUGUCGUGGGUUGAUAAUAAAGAUGUAU